UGGUGGAGUGAUUUGUCUGCUUAAUUGCGAUAACGAACGAGACCUUAACCUGCUAAAUAGCCAGGCUAGCUUUGGCUGGUCGCCGGCUUCUUAGCGAGACUUUUGGCUCAAGCCAAAGGAAGUUGGAGGCAAUAACA
rnacentral:rRNA from 1 species